GACGUAGGGUGCGAGCGUUGUCCGGAUUUAUUGGGCGUAAAGAGCUCGUAGGCGGCUCGUCGCGUCGACCGUGAAAACCCGCGGCUUAACUGCGGGCUUGCGGUUGAUACGGGCGGGCUAGAGUUCGGUAGGGGGAGACUGGAAUUCUUGGUGUAGCGGUGAAAUGCGUAGAUAUCGAGAGGAACACCUGCGGCGAAGGCGGGGUUGCUGGGCUGACACUGACGCUGAGGCGCGAAAGCUAGGGGGAGCGAACGGG
rnacentral:rRNA from 1 species